UACAGAGGGUGCGAGCGUUGUCCGGAAUCACUGGGCGUAAAGGGCGCGUAGGCGGUCUGCUAAGCGUGUGGUGAAAGCUCGGGGCUCAACCCCGAGUCGGCCAUGCGAACUGGUGGACUGGAGCAUGUCAGAGGCAGGCGGAAUUCCGGGUGUAGCGGUGGAAUGCGUAGAGAUCCGGAAGAACACCGGUGGCGAAGGCGGCCUGCUGGGACAUUGCUGACGCUGAGGAGCGAAAGCGUGGGGAGCGAACAGG
rnacentral:rRNA from 1 species